AACACUGUUAACCUGCGGUACCUGCGGAGGGAUCAUUACAGAGUUGCAAAACUCCCUAAACCAUUGUGAACGUUACCUAAACCGUUGCUUCGGCGGGCGGCCCGGGUCCUUCCCGGCGCCCCUCGGCCCUCGCGGGCGCCCGCCGGAGGUAAACCAAACUAUUGCAUUGUAUGGCCUCUCUGAGUCUUCUGUACUGAAUAAGCCAAAACUUUCAACAACGGAUCUCAGAUCGGAAGAGCA
rnacentral:misc_RNA from 1 species